rnacentral:lncRNA from 1 species
AACGGUUGUGUUCAGUUUGUGUUGAGCUCAGGCACAAGCAAGCAUGGCCCAAGCCUCAAGCAGGGCCCAGACUGGCUCCUGAAAUGCAGCUAGAGGCUCUGGUCUGCCAGGCUGCAGAAAGAGGCCCAAAGUGAGUCGCCCAGGCAGGGGCCUGCAGCCCGCCCAGGAGGGUUGGUUAGGGCUUGCUGUUCAGUUUGAGGAGGCUCACUUCCUUCCCCUUUCUGCAGCCUGCUGGGCCCCAGGGAGCUGGUAACCCGGGAACUGAGGCACGGGGGGAGAGGCCUCCGGAGCCUGUUGGGUUGCCAGCCUGGCUGUCAGCUGGCUGGGCCCUCCUCGGGGUGUGAGCAGAGCAUUCUACUGCAGUGACCAGGGCCCGGGCGUCCACCAGAGCAGAGUGCAGGGAUGGGGGAAUGACACUAUUCCAGGAGAGAGGAUUCUGCUCCAUGAAUGCCUCUGUGGCUCUACUGAUACUUCUCACAAGGACACCAAUCAGUGGAUUCAGGCCCACUGCGACUUGUGUGAUCUCAUUUUCACUUAAUUACCUAUGUCUGCAAAGAUCCUGUUUCCAAAGAAGGCCACAUUCAGAGGUUCCACUUUGGCAUGGAUUUCUGGAGACCUAUUCAACACAUUAGGUUUGUCAGAAUUAAAUGAAGAAUCAUGGAAAGUGGUUCACCUAGUGUACAGCUAUUCACAAAGUUGUUGUCUACGGCCAUACCACCCUGAAAGCACCCAAUCUCAUCUGAUCUCGGAAGCAACUGCAAUUUUAUACACUUGUAGAAGUCACAGACACAUACUGGAAUUUCAGCUUCCCCGAUUCUAAGACAAGCUUGUCUCCAAAGGCAGUCAGAAGGAACCUUUGGGCAGAGAUUUUUCCCCAAAGACCCUACCUGAUCAAAAGAGCGUGUCUUCAGUCUUCAAGGAAUCCAGGGUACUGGAAUCAUUUCAAGCCUGAUGACAUCCCAAGUAAUUCUUUUAAACACUUCUCCAUUGAACAACAACAACAGAUCAAUGUUUAAAGAAAAUGGUUCUUCCUCUUGCUCCCCAAAGUGCAAAUCUGCUGUCUCCAGUUCCUCAGCGUAAUGAAAUGACCAUCCGAACAAAAAGCUAGACUGAAGAAGAGCAGAAAAAGAAGCUGGCUUCCCGAUACUCUGAAACUACUGG